rnacentral:rRNA from 1 species
GACGAACGCUGGCGGCGUGCUUAACACAUGCAAGUCGAACGGAAUGGCCCUGCUUUUGUGGGGUGCUCGAGUGGCGAACGGGUGAGUAACACGUGAGUAACCUGCCCUUGACUUUGGGAUAACUUCAGGAAACUGGGGCUAAUACCGGAUAGGAGCUCCUGCUGCAUGGUGGGGGUUGGAAAGUUUCGGCGGUUGGGGAUGGACUCGCGGCUUAUCAACUUGUUGGUGGGGUAGUGGCUUACCAAGGCUUUGACGGGUAGCCGGCCUGAGAGGGUGACCGGCCACAUUGGGACUGAGAUACGGCCCAGACUCCUACGGGAGGCAGCAGUGGGGAAUAUUGCACAAUGGGCGGAAGCCUGAUGCAGCAACGCCGCGUGCGGGAUGACGGCCUUCGGGCUGUAAACCGCUUUCGCCUGUGACGAAGCGUGAGUGACGGUAAUGGGUAAAGAAGCACCGGCUAACUACGUG